GACGAACGCUGGCGGCGUGCUUAACACAUGCAAGUCGAACGGAAAGGCCCUGCUUGCCGGGUACUCGAGUGGCGAACGGGUGAGUAACACGUGGGUGAUCUGCCCUGCACUUCGGGAUAAGCCUGGGAAACUGGGUCUAAUACCGGAUAGGAGCCAUUUUUAGUGUGAUGGUUGGAAAGUUUUUUCGGUGUAGGAUGAGCUCGCGGCCUAUCAGCUUGUUGGUGGGGUAAUGGCCUACCAAGGCGGCGACGGGUAGCCGGCCUGAGAGGGUGGACGGCCACAUUGGGACUGGGAUACGGCCCAGACUCCUACGGGAGGCAGCAGUGGGGAAUGUUGCACAAUGGGCGCAAGCCUGAUGCAGCGACGCCGCGUGGGGGAUGACGGCCUUCGGGUUGUAAACUCCUUUCGCUAGGGACGAAGCUUUUUGUGACGGUACCUAGAUAAGAAGCACCGGCUAACUACGUG
rnacentral:rRNA from 1 species